ACUCGGCGAACCGCCCAGUAACACGCGGAUAACAUGCCCUUGGGUGGAGGAUAAGCUCGGGAAACUGAGGAUAAUACUCCAUAGAUCUACUAUGCUGGAAUGCUUGUAGGUCCAAAACUCCGGUGCCCAAGGAUUGGUCUGCGGCGUAUCAGGUAGUAGUGGGUGUAACGGACCCACUAGCCAAUGACGCGUAAGGGCCUUGAAAGAGGGAGCCCUGAGAUGGACUCUGAGACAUGAGUCCAGGCCCUACGGGGCGCAGCAGUCGCGAAAACUUCACAAUGGGGGAAACCCCGAUGAGGGAAUUCCAAGUGUUAGCACAUUGUGUUAACUGUUCCCCUGUCUAAAAAACAGGAGAAGUAAGGGCCGGGUAAGACGGGUGCCAGCCGCCGCGGUAAUACCCGCGGCCCGAGUGGUGGUCGAUAUUAUUGAGCCUAAAACGUUCGUAGCCGGUCUUGUAAAUCCUUGGGUAAAUCGGCCAGCUUAACUGUCCGAAGUCCGGGGAGACUGCAAGACUUGGGAUCGGGAGAGGUCAGAGGUACCUCUGGGGUAGGGGUAAAAUCCUGUAAUCCUAGAAGGACCACCGGUGGCGAAGGCGUCUGACUAGAACGAAUUCGACGGUGAGGAACGAAGCCCUGGGGCGCAAACGGGAUUAGAUACCCCGGUAGUCCAGGGUGUAAACGCUGCGGGCUUGGUGUUGGGGGUCCUUAGUGGGCGCCCAGUGCCGGAGAGAAGUUGUUAAGCCUGCUGCUUGGGGAGUAUGUCCGCAAGGAUGAAACUUAAAGGAAUUGGCGGGGGAGCACCGCAACGGGAGGAGCGUGC
rnacentral:rRNA from 1 species